UAGAUGGCUAUAAGAAGACAGACUAGCAAGAUAAAAAUAAACAGAAAUUUAGUAACAUGUGUACUUCCUGACCUCCAUUCCUUCGUAAAGAAGAACAUUAUUUAAUCUUAACCAGAGAAAGAGAUUCAAGGUGUAACAACCCAGUGUCAUCAUUUGCAUCUCCCUUCUUAAUGGGCAUUGGCCUAGGCCAAAGUGAAAAUAAGGUAUCCUCUUGACUACUGGACAUCACUAGAUGGGUCAUUCCUGAGGAAUGUAUAUCCUUUGACUGGUGAAAACGGCUAAUGUCAGACAGGCAAAUAGAGAAUUUCGCUUUCUUUCCAAUCGACCACUAGAAGGCACUCAACAUGGAGAAUAAACAGCAGAUGGCAGCCCAUGUCAUACUUUCUGGAUCUGCGUGUCUAUCUCUGAUACAAUUUCAUGUCUGCUUUCGAUUUAUUGACAUUCAACACUCCACGAAAACACAUGGAAACUUCUGUGCCUUGCAAUGAAGAUGUGAUUAACAAAUCAGGAGACUGUGAAUAAGGCAGACUACCCUCUACAAUGUGGUUAGACCUCAUCCAGUCAGUUGAAGAAUGAAGACAGGUUUUCCAAAGGAGAAUUCCAUCUUAAGACUGCAACACAGAAAUCCUCCCUAAGUUCCCAGUCUGCCUGGCCUGCUCUGUGGAUUUUGUGUUCAAGACUACAACAUCGACACUCACUUGAAUUUUCCAGACUACUAUCAUGUCCAGUGGAUCAAACUUGCUGGUCAUCACAGUUGUGCCAGCUAAUUCCUCAAUCUCUCUCUUAGAUAUAUAUAUGUACAGUGGACCCCGACAACAGGGGGCUGAACUGCACGGGUCCACUUCCAUGCAGAUUUCUUUUUGAUAUAGCACAGGACUGUAAAUGUGUUUUCUCUUCCUUACGAUUUUCUUAAUGAUAUUUUCUCUUCUCCAGCUAGCUUUAUUGUAAGAAUACAAUAUUAAUACAUACAGCAUACAAAAUAUGUAUAUGUUAAGUGACUGUUUAUAUUAUUGGGAAGGCUUCUGGUCCACGGUAGGCUAUUAAUGAAGAAUUGAGGAGCUGAAAGUCAUGUGUGGAUUUUUCACUGGCAGGGGUUCAGUGCCCCUAACCUCUAUGUUGUUCAAGGACUAGCUGUUUAUAUAAUCUCUUUCUCUCAUAUGUCAUGUAUAUAUGUAAAUGUUUAUAUGUAUAUAAACAUUUAAUUUACUUAUUUUUAUUUAAAAAAUUUACUU